rnacentral:rRNA from 1 species
UACGGAGGGGGCUAGCGUUGUUCGGAAUUACUGGGCGUAAAGCGCACGUAGGCGGCUUGAUAAGUUAGAGGUGAAAGCCCGGGGCUCAACUCCGGAAUAGCCUUUAAGACUAUCUCGCUUGAACGUCGGAGAGGUGAGUGGAAUUCCGAGUGUAGAGGUGAAAUUCGUAGAUAUUCGGAAGAACACCAGUGGCGAAGGCGGCUCACUGGACGACUGUUGACGCUGAGGUGCGAAAGCGUGGGGAGCAAACAGG